UGGGGGAUAUUGCACAAUGGAGGAAACUCUGAUGCAGCAACGCCGCGUGAAGGAUGAAGGUCUUCGGAUUGUAAACUUUUGUACUUGGGGACGAUAAUGACGGUACCCAAGCAGCAAGCUCCGGCUAACUACGUGCCAGCAGCCGCGGUAAUACGUAGGGAGCAAGCGUUGUCCGGAUUUACUGGGUGUAAAGGGUGCGUAGGCGGCUAUGCAAGUCAGUUGUGAAAACUAUGGGCUCAACCCAUAGCCUGCAAUUGAAACUGCGUGGCUUGAGUGAAGUAGAGGUAGGUGGAAUUCCCGGUGUAGCGGUGAAAUGCGUAGAGAUCGGGAGGAACACCAGUGGCGAAGGCGACCUACUGGGCUUUAACUGACGCUGAGGCACGAAAGCA
rnacentral:rRNA from 1 species